rnacentral:rRNA from 1 species
UACGGGGGGGGGCAAGCGUUUGUUCGGAAUUACUGGGCGUAAAGCGCGCGUAGGCGGCUUUUCAAGUCAGACGUGAAAUCCUUAGGCUUAACCUGAGACUGCGUUUGAUACUGUUGGGCUAGAGUGUGGAAGGGGCUACUAGAAAUUCCGUGUGUAGCGGUGAAAAUGCGUAGAUAUACGGAGGAACACCAGCGGCGAAGGCGGGGUACUGGGGCCAAACACUGACUGAGGCGCGAAAAGCUAGGGGUAGCAAAACGGGGAUUUAGAAAACCC